UGCCAUUUUAUGUAAAACACAGGCUUA
rnacentral:piRNA from 1 species